rnacentral:rRNA from 1 species
AGUGAACGCUGGCGGUAGGCCUAACACAUGCAAGUCGAACGGCAGCACAGUAAGAGCUUGCUCUUACGGGUGGCGAGUGGCGGACGGGUGAGGAAUACAUCGGAAUCUACUUUUUCGUGGGGGAUAACGUAGGGAAACUUACGCUAAUACCGCAUACGACCUACGGGUGAAAGCAGGGGAUCUUCGGACCUUGCGCGAUUGAAUGAGCCGAUGUCGGAUUAGCUAGUUGGCGGGGUAAAGGCCCACCAAGGCGACGAUCCGUAGCUGGUCUGAGAGGAUGAUCAGCCACCCUGGAACUGAGACACGGCCCAGACUCCUACGGGAGGCAGCAGUGGGGAAUAUUGGACAAUGGGCGCAAGCCUGAUCCAGCCAUACCGCGUGGGUGAAGAAGGCCUUCGGGUUGUAGAGCCCUUUUGUUGGGAAAGAAAAGCAGCAGGUUAAUACCCCGCUGUUCUGACGGUACCCAAAGAAUAAGCACCGGCUAACUUCGUG